rnacentral:rRNA from 1 species
CACGUAGGGGGCAAGCGUUGUCCGGAUUUAUUGGGCGUAAAGAGCUCGUAGGUGGUUCGGUAAGUCGGGUGUUAAACCCCCAGGCUCAACCUGGGGACGCCACUCGAUACUGCUGUGACUAGAGUCCGGUAGGGGAGCGUGGAAUUCCUGGUGUAGCGGUGAAAUGCGCAGAUAUCAGGAGGAACACCAGCGGCGAAGGCGGCUCUCUAGUACGGUACUGACGCUGAGACGCGAAAGCGUGGGGAGCGAACAGG